rnacentral:rRNA from 1 species
AGUGAACGCUGGCGGUAGGCCUAACACAUGCAAGUCGAACGGCAGCACAGUAAGAGCUCGCUCUUACGGGUGGCGAGUGGCGGACGGGUGAGGAAUACAUCGGAAUCUACUUUUUCGUGGGGGAUAACGUAGGGAAACUUACGCUAAUACCGCAUACGACCUACGGGUGAAAGCAGGGGAUCUUCGGACCUUGCGCGAUUGAAUGAGCCGAUGUCGGAUUAGCUAGUUGGCAGGGUAAAGGCCCACCAAGGCGACGAUCCGUAGCUGGUCUGAGAGGAUGAUCAGCCACACUGGAACUGAGACACGGUCCAGACUCCUACGGGAGGCAGCAGUGGGGAAUAUUGGGCAAUGGGCGCAAGCCUGAUCCAGCCAUGCCGCGUGGGUGAAGAAGGCCUUCGGGUUGUAAAACCCUUUUGUUAGGAAAGAAAAGCAGCAGGUUAAUACCCCGCUGUUCUGACGGUACCCAAAGAAUAAGCACCGGCUAACUUCGUG